rnacentral:lncRNA from 1 species
GUUUUCUGUUUUUAUGACAAUUUACCAAUUCACUAUGGUUCAUAUUAUUGUGUGGUGCUUUGCAGUACUUUGAGGACAAUUUUUGGCUCCCUAUUAAUUUUCCUGGUCUUCUCUCCUACUUUUCCUAUUGCUGAGAGACAGGUUGGGUUUGCAGAAAUGAUACUGUGUAAUUUUUUUUUUCCCGUGAUAAGUUGCUGGAAAGCCCACAUUCACUGUAUGCAUUGUCUCCUCUUUGUGAUCAGUCCUUCUGCUCUGUUAAUAAUUAGAAAGAUAGUGUCCCUGUCUUCCCUUUGCUUAGACAAAUCAUAGAAGCAUCUCUUCAUCUUUUCCCCAUUUUCCUUUCUUGCCAGCAAAGUAUUCUGCACUGAUCAAAGAGCUUGGCAGGUGCUUUUGAUGAAUACUGUGACAGUUGUAAAUGCUCCCAGUUCACGUUUUUAUGGAUUUAAAGGCCAGAUUUUAGUGACCAGGUGACUGAAAAAAGUGAUAUUGUUUCUCCUUCUAAUUCUGGUAUAAAAUCAUAGCAAUGGCAAAUGUUAUUAUAUGAACAACAAUCACCACAAAAAUAAAGUAGAACUCUUCCUAUGAGCUACACUUCUAUUGACUUGGAGGUUCACUUUCUUUUUCUUUUUUUUUUUUCCCAAAAGUAAUUUGUUUGCACCUGUCACCUUUCAGCUCUUUGAAUAAAAUGCUUUGUGUGAGAAGCCUUCAGAGAGAUAGUCCUAUGCCAUAACUGAAUAUAAAAGAAAUGUGUUUCAGCUCAGUGUUUCCUUUAGUUCAAAUAAAACAAUUUAAAAGCUUUAUGAAAAUUAUAGUCCACAUCGAGAUCAUAAGCCUGAAUCACCUUCUACCUUCAUACACACACACUUUCAUGUAGA